rnacentral:lncRNA from 1 species
UUGGUUUUAAUUGACAUAUGCUUGCUUGAUUGGCUUAAGUCUGUUAGCUUAUUUGCAUUUUGCAUUUCAUAAAUCGGUCAUUUUUACCCCUCUAAGUGGGAGUGAGAAACUAGUCCUUCGUGAGGUAUUCACCUCCGUGCGGGAUAGUGGAUCGCUUUCGGGAUGCAUCCGUACCUAUGUCUUCGUGAGAUUUUCAUCUCCGUGUAGCCAUAGGGAAAUGUAUCCCCCUGAAUUGAACUCGGUCUAUAUGAGCCUAUAAUGGGUGAGGAUCGAGGAAUUUGUUGGUUCAGGUACCCCUGCCCUAGAAGCCGAACCGCAUAUAGUGAACCUUAGGAACUUACCCUAGGUAGAAUUACUCUAAACCUUAGUAGAUACCUGACUAGGAGUUUUUAUUAUUUCUUGAUUGUAUUGGAUUAAAUGUUUAUACCUGAUACUAACCCGUUUUGUUUUGUUUUGGUUAUGAUUGCAUUGCAUUUGCAUUUUAGAAAAGAGAUGUUGAUUCAAGUUUGAUUACUAAGUUAGAAAGCCUAUCAUAAGAAAACGGGUUUCUUGAUAAAAUGAAAAAUAGUACGGCUGCCUGAAUAUAUUCCGAGAAACACAAUAAGGGCG